GUGGCCAGAGACUAGGGGGCCAGAGAGUAGGGGGGCCAGAGAAGUAGGGGCCAGAGAGUAGGGGGCCAGAGAGUAGGGGUGUAUUUGAGAUUAGACGCUCCAGGGUCAUGAAGCACACAGGUGGAGUAGACGAGCCCUGAUGUCCCGUAGAAAAUAACUGACGAUCCACAGCAAAACAGCCAGGCCAGACUAGACGAUCCAGAGAAAAACAGCCAGGCCAGACUAGACGAUCCAGAGCAAAACAGCCAGGCCAGACUAGACGAUCCACAGCAGAACAGCCAGGCGAUCCAGACCUGACUAGACGAUCCACAGCAGAAGAGCCAGGCGAUCCUGACGAUUCAGCCGGAGCAGCCUCGGCAACCACAGUGGGUACACUCUAUAAUCCUCCCCUGGAGAGAGAGAGAAACAGAGAGACAGAGAGAGAGAGAAACAGAGACACAGCGAGAGAGAGAGAGAGAGAGAGAGAGACAGAGACAGAGACAGAGACAGACAGAGAAACAGAGAGAGACAGAGACAGACAGAGAAACAGAGAGAGACAGAGAAACAGAGAGAGAGAGAGACAGAGACAGAGACAGAGAGAGAGAGAGAGACAGAGAGACAGAGAGAGAGAGAGAGACAGAGAGACAGAGAGAGAAACAGAGAGACAGAGAAACAGAGAGACAGAGAAACAGAGGAACAGAGACAGAGAAACAGAGAGAGAAACAGAGAGAGAGACAGAGAGAGAGACAGAGAGAGAGACAGAGAGAGAGAGAGAGAGAGAGAGACAGAGAGAGACAGAGAGAGAGACAGAGAG
rnacentral:lncRNA from 1 species